UGGAAGUCAAGUGAUAUUCUAGCCACCGCAGUAGGUUUUAAGUUUUCACUGAUUCCCAAGCACCAAGGGAACCUAGCUGCUAACAGCAGACGGAGCCCUGAGUGGACUGAACUGUGUCUUCUCCCACAUCCGCACGCUCAGGUCCCAACUCCCAUGGAACUCCUGGACACGGGCCCUCCCGGGGGGUCACGUGGUUAAGUGGGGACCUGGGGUCUCAAUCUGUCAGGGUAGAGACACAGCAAGAGGCAGACGGCGACAAGGCAAGAAGAGACACCCCACCAGAAAGCCAGCCAGCCACGCCCCCUGGACUUCCCAGCAGGCAGAGCUGAGAAAAUCACUGGCUGCUGCAGACACCCAGCCCAUGAUACUGGGUCAGGGCAGCCAGAGCACAAGAACACGGAGCUGCUCAGAAGCCAGGCCCGGCUGUUUCCUCCUCUAUGUAGGUCCUCAGCACAGAGCCCUCAGAUGUGCUAAUCUGCUUAUCAUUUAUAUAUAUGGACGCUUGCAUUAUCUUAAAACAUGAAAAAAAGAAAGACAUUUUUGGCAGAAAAGAAAUAAACAGAAAUAGAAGUUUUGGCAUGUUCUUCUCCCUGCCGCAGGCCAACCAUCCCGGCACCUGCAAAUGUAACCUCAGAAACAGGAUCUUGUGACUGCAGUCAGGGUUAGCUGCAUUCAUGUUGGAUAAAGGAGCCCCUGAUUCCUACACGAAGAGGGAUUCUGCACAGGGACACACAGGAGAGAAGGCCAUAUGACGAUGGGCAGAGAGCGGAGCGAGUGUGGCAGCCAUAAACUCGGGGGCACCAAGGGCUGCCCCAGGCCACCAGAAGGAUGAGAGCGGAAGAGCAGAUCCUUCCCAAGCAUCUCUGGCGGGAACGGUCUUAAGGACACUUCACCAUCAGACUUCUGGCCUCCACUCCACCUGAGAGAGAAUGCAGAAUACAUCUGUAUGGUUUGGGGGAACCUGGUUGGCAGCCCCAGAAAAGGAGCACAUCCACACACCCCACUGAAUGAGAAUGAGGAACACAUAAGAAAAAUGUAACCCAUGCACAAAAAGCCAGCUGCUAAACAUCUGAUCACCCUCAUGGUCAUGAUCACAAGAACUCCUGGAAAGCUCAUGAGUCAUGGUAGGUCACUUUUGACCCCAAGGAACGUAACACCUCAGCUCCAGAGUGACACGGAUUGCUGAAACGCGUGGUCAGGAGGGUGAGCUCAGCUGAGUGACACUGUGUGGUGUGGUAAGGGGCUGCGAUGACCUGAAUGCUUGUGUCCCGAAGAAUUCGAAUGCUGGACACCACCCCCAAGGUGGCAAGUGGAGGUGGGAACUGAGCAGUGGGAGGGUUAUGAGCCGAGCGCUGGGGAGGGAGAUUAAUGCUCUAUUAAAGAGGCCCAGGCAUCCCUUGUCUCUCCCACUGUGGGAGCACACAGGGAGAAAGCAGGCUCGCAGACACCAUCUGCCCACACGCUGUCUUGACUUCCAGGCUCCAGAACUGUAAGAAACAAACUUCUGUCGUUAAUAAGCCACAGCACUUACAGAAUUCUGUUACAGCAGCCCAAACAGACUCAGGCGUGAAGAGGAGAAAGCCAUGGAAGGAGAAUUACUUUUGCUCUGUAGGCAGAUGUUCCGUGCUCUGUGUGUGAGGGGCAGAGGUGAGCAGGUAGCAGAGUCUCAAGCCUGGGAGCGUGUCAGUGACUGCUGGGGCCCAGCCCAGCGUGGGGAAACCCCCAAGAAGCUGCAGCCCGAGUCUCCCCAGCAGCCUUCCUUCCCCUGUGAGCUCAGCCUCUGUGCCCUCUGACAGGGCUGUUUCCACCCCUCCAGACCCAAGAGGCCAUGGAGCCCUGUGCACCCUGGGGAUCGCUGUCCACCGUGGAAAACCCAAAGCAUCAACUGCAUGCCCAGUAGGUUGUGGGGACGGGGGCUGCUGGCGACCCUGUGAGCUGUGGGCCACCGCACCAAGGGCUGAAGUCGGUAACCAGGGCUCCGGCACAGGGCCAUGGGGAAGGGAGAUGCCGCAGGUGGCAGCACAGGUAGCAGGUCUCUGGGCCUUCAGGCAACAAGCUGAAGACCUGCUUGAUGCUCAGGUGAGCCCAGGAGCCAUGGUAGGAACCGCACGUUCACCGGGGCUCAUCAAGACUCCAGGCAGCUUUAACGUCCGGAAUUUCAGACAAAGAGUGUAAGUGUAAACCGGAAAUGGAAAAGGCAAAGGGGGGACAGGGAAGCAUGGGAGAAGCAGCAGCUAUAGAAAGCAAGUAACCACCCUUGAGAUGGGGUGGGGCAGGAUUAUCAGAGCUGGGGGCCGGGCCAUGCUGCGGCGUCACCUCUGACAGUAGCACGCUGGAGCUGGUGGGGAGUGUGGGUCAGCAAAGCCCCACUGAGGACCGGUACCUGCUUCUCCAGCGACAGCGCUGUCCAGACUGGAUUUCCAAACAGCGCUGAGUACCUGACCACGGACAAGCUGAUUCACCUUUUGCACCUGGGUUUCAUCUACAAGAUGUGGAUGUGAGCAUCAGCCAGAGACCACUGAGGAGCACAAGGAAUGCAGUCAACAAGUGGAACAGCACAGCUUUCAACAGAAAAGAUCUCAACCCACACGGAGGAAUGAUCUACCAAACAGGCUGCGUGGGCCUUUUGACCACGUCAAGGACAAGAACAGUUGAGAACCAUCGGAAGGAUAAAUCUGAGUCAUUUGUAGGAACACAGAUGCAACUUGACACCAUAAUGCAAACAAAAUGCAGGUGACACAGAAGGUUAACUAUCACAUGGUUUCUCUUAUAUGAAAAACCUAGAGUAUAAAUAAUUUAAAGAACAAAAUGAAAGCCAAUAGGAAACGGGGAGGUAGACCUUUUGCAUAUGGGAAGGCGACCUAGGGAUAGGAAGAGAAGGAAGGCGGGAGGGGAAGCGGAAGUAAAGAGGACUAAGGUGUGGGCUGUAUAGGUGCCAACUCCCCCAGUAAUGUAUUCAUUAUGUAUCAUAAACAUGUAUCAACAAAAGGAAAAAAAAGAACGGCUCGAGAACUGCUGUAAGUUAAAAUCGAGCUAAAGAAAUACAGCCACUAAAUGACUGAUGAUAUAAAAUCAGGAUAGAAUAGUCAAACUGGACAUGACUGGGACAAGUGAUGAAAUUGCGUGUGGCCUGUGGAUUUGAUAAUAUAAUUGUAGCUGUAUUUCCUGCAUUUGACAAUUACAUAGUUGUUUCAUAAAAGAAUAUCCUUGUGCUUAUGAAAUAUACCCUAAAUAUUUAGGAAUAAAAGGACAUGUCUGUGAGCUAUUCUCAAAUGGGUCCAAAAAAAUUGUGUGCAUGAGUGUGAGUGUGUGUGUGUGUGUGUGCCUGUACUAACAAUUGGUGGCUGAGUCUGUAGCAGUUCUUUGUAUCAUCCCACUCAUGCAAGCAAAACAAUGAGCACCU
rnacentral:lncRNA from 1 species